GACGGAGGAUGCAAGUGUUAUCCGGAAUCACUGGGCGUAAAGCGUCUGUAGGUGGUCAAAUAAGUCAACUGUUAAAUCUUGAGGCUCAACCUCAAAAUCGCAGUCGAAACUAUUAGACUAGAGUAUAGUAGGGGUAAAGGGAAUUUCCAGUGGAGCGGUGAAAUGCGUAGAGAUCGGAAAGAACACCGAUGGCGAAGGCACUUUACUGGGCUAUUACUAACACUCAGAGACGAAAGCUAGGGUAGCAAAUGGG
rnacentral:rRNA from 1 species